rnacentral:tRNA from 1 species
GCGCCUGUAGCUCAGCUGGAUAGAGCACCAGUCUACGGAACUGGUUGUCGGAGGUUCGAAUCCUCCCAGGCGCG